rnacentral:rRNA from 1 species
CAUUCACGGAGAGUUUGAUCCUGGCUCAGGACGAACGCUGGCGGCGUGCUUAACACAUGCAAGUCGAACGAUGAAGCCCUUCGGGGUGGAUUAGUGGCGAACGGGUGAGU